AUGGACCUUGGGUUCUUAGGUCCAAAGUUUACAUGGUGUAAUCGUCAAGAUCCAAAAUUCCAUGUAAAGGUUCGUCUCAAUAGAGUUGUGGCUAAUAGCAAUUUUAUUAAUAUGCAUGAUGACUUUACUGUUGAACAUUUGAUAACAACAUCUUCAGAAUGCUAUGUUAUUUUGAUUGUUUUAUCUCGGAUUUCUGUCGUGAGGCGCCAAGUGCCAGUACGGCAAGGGUUCAAAUACGAAGCUAUUUGGCUGUGUGCUACUAAUUAUAAAGAAUAUUUUGAGCGUGUUUGAUCCGAUGGUAGGCAUGAUGAUAUGUCCCUUCAGGCCAUAUGGGACAAUAUACACCAUGUGGCGAGUGCUCUCAAGAUUUUGAGUCGUGAUUCUUUUGGGUCUGUUCACAAGCAGAUUUUGAAGUUGGAACGCCGAUUUGGUACCAUUAGAUCUGCACCGGUCACUGAGACUUGUUUAGCUGGUGAAAGAUCAAUUGAAUCACAACUCUGCGAACAUUUUGAGAGGGAGGAGAUUAUGGCGAGGCAACGCUCUAGGGUGGACUGGCUUCGUGAGGGAGACCGGAAUAUAGAUUUCUUCCAUGCUCGUGCUACAGCUCAAAAAUGUACUAACAAAAUUCAUUGUUUGGCCCGGGAUGAUGGUUCUCUUUGUGAUUCACCAAUGAAGAUUAAAGGUAUGGUGCAAAAAUAUUAUGACAAUAUUUUCACAUUCGGUCCUUGUGAUGAUGUUGAUGUUGUUCUUGAUGAUAUUCCGCAUAAAAUUAGUGAUGAGAUGAAUGCUGAUUUAUGUAAACCCUAUACUAAUGAAGAGAUGAAGACAAAUCUUUUUCAGAUGGGGCCUACAAAGGCUCCUGGUGCGGAUGGUUUUCCAGCCCUAUUCUACCAGACUCAUUGGGAUUUGUUGGGUGACGAGAUUUUUCAGGCGGUCAGGAGUUUUUUGGUGGGAAGGUCCAUUCCUGAUGGCUUUUGUGACUCAGUGAUUGUGCUUAUUCCAAAAGUUGCAAGACCCAAGCAUUUAAAGAAUUUUCGUCCAAUUAGUCCGUGUAAUGUUCUUUAUAAGAUUGCCUCCAAAGUUUUGGCUAAUCGUCUGAAGUUGCUUCUACCUGUUGUCAUUUCAGUAUCAGAGUGCCUUUGUGCGUGGCAGACUUAUUACUAA
rnacentral:rRNA from 1 species